rnacentral:rRNA from 1 species
GACGAACGCUGGCGGCGGGCCUAAUACAUGCAAGUAGGACGCAGUUGCGACCGGGUGAGUAACGCGUAGGUAACUACCUAUUAGAGGGGGAUAACUAUUGGAAACGAUAGCUAAUACCGCAUACUAGUAGAUGGACCUGCGUUGUAUUUGCUAGUAGGUAGGGUAAUGGCCUACCUAGGCAACGAUACAUAGCCGAACUGAGAGUGUGCGCGGACACACUGGGACUGAGACACGGCCCAGACUCCUAAGGUGGGCAGCAGUAGGGAAUCUUCGGCAAUGGGGGGAACCCUGACCGAGCAACGCCGCGUGAGUGAAGAAGGUUUUCGGAUCGUAAAGCUCUGUUGUUAAGGAAGCGGUACUUAACCAGAAAGGGACGGCUAACUACGUGCCAGCCGCCGCGGUAAUAC